CAAAAUCUUGUUUCCUUCCCUGAGCUAAAAAAUUAGGUCAUUCGAUCUCCCACCCAAACCGCGCGCGCUCUCGGCCUCUUUGGACUCACCAAAAUCGUGUUCCCUCCCUUGGCUAAAAAAUUAGGUCAUAUUCUCCCACCCAAAAUCGCUCUCAGCCUCUCGGACUCACCAAAAUCGUGUUCCCUCCCUUGGUUAAAAAAUUAGGUCAUAUUCUCCCACCCAAAAUCGCUCUCAGCCUCUCGGACUCACCAAAAUCGUGUUCCCUCCCUUAGCUAAAAAAUUCGGUCAUUCUCCCACCCAAAAUCGCUCUCAGCCUUUCUCCUUGUUCAACUCUCUCUAAUGUGAACGAUCCCUACUAAAAUUGACCAUGUCGGAGCAGAGAUCCGGGUUAAGAAUCCGAGACGCCAGCCCGGACUCGGUUAUUUACACACUCGAGUCCAGCCUCUUCUCCUUUCCGCUUCCGCCAGCGUUGACCGCUGCUCCUUCGCCUCCGAAGCCUUUGACCACGACUCCACCGCCUCCGAGAUCUCUCCGGUGACCAACCCCCACCCUCUGCAUGCUUUAAUUUCAUGCUCAUUGCAAAUGUGGAACAAUCUGAUUUGAAAUUUUGGAUGCAGAACUCGGCGGCGCACCGUCACCAGGUUGAAGAGAGCUCCAGUGGUCCGGAUCGCGAUCUAGAUCCGAAGACGAAGCCCGCUUUACACAUCACUAGCCACCACCACGGUCGUCGAUCCAGAAAAGGAGAAAAGGCCAAAGUUCCAAAGCAAGACAUCGACGCCGACUUGGUUCUUGAUUCAGCACGAAGCUCUUUCUCUCUCGCCUUAAAAGAAUGCCAGGACUGUCGAUCUAGAUCUGAAGCUCUGUCCAAGAAGCUAGACAGGCCGAGACCCGUUUUCAGCUGGGGUUAUGGCAGCGGAUGGAAUGGCAUUCCACUCCUCCGGUGCUCAUAAUGGAGCCUUUUCGAAUAGGGCUGAGCCUUUCAUUGCUCGUUCGGUUAGCGUGCAUGGUUGCUCUGAGGUGUUGGACCAGCAGUCAUCCCUGCCUGAGUCUCAAGAUGAAAAGCUUGAUGGGGUUAAGGAUGCAGCCACCAAUGUAUCUCGUGCAGUUUCACGAAGGGACAUGGCAACCCAAAUGAGCCCUGAUGAC